AUUGAACGCUGGCGGCAGGCUUAACGCAUGCAAGUCGAGCGGAGUGAUGGUGCUUGCACUAUCACUUAGCGGCGGACGGGUGAGUAAUGCUUAGGAAUCUGCCAUUUAGUGGGGGACAACAUUCCGAAAGGAAUGCUAAUACCGCAUACGUCCUACGGGAGAAAGCAGGGGAUCUUCGGACCUUGCGCUAAAUGAUGAGCCUAAGUCGGAUUAGCUAGUUGGUGGGGUAAAGGCCUACCAAGGCGACGAUCUGUAGCGGGUCUGAGAGGAUGAUCCGCCACACUGGGACUGAGACACGGCCCAGACUCCUACGGGAGGCAGCAGUGGGGAAUAUUGGACAAUGGGCGGAAGCCUGAUCCAGCCAUGCCGCGUGUGUGAAGAAGGCCUUUUGGUUGUAAAGCACUUUAAGCGAGGAGGAGGCUACUAGUACUAAUACUACUGGAUAGUGGACGUUACUCGCAGAAUAAGCACCGGCUAACUCUGUGCUAGCAGCCGCCGUAAUAC
rnacentral:rRNA from 1 species